CGAGACAUAAAAUUUCAUUAAUUUUAAACUUUUCAAACAUAUUCAAGACUAUCUACAUUAAAUGACUUUAUACAAUAGAGACCUUCAAAUAACAUAGGUCAGUAUUUUAGGCCAACUCCUAGCAACUUAAUAAUAAUUAAACGAGUCCCCAUACAUGCCAAAGACUUAAAAAUACUUUAAAACAUUUAUAUAUCGAUCAAUAGUUUGAUAGUGUGAUUUAACCUCCGGCGACCUCCAACUCGAGCUAACAUCUGCGACAUCAUAGGAAAAAGGAAAGGAAGGGAGUAAGCAUUAUAGAUUAGUAAGUAAAUAUGUAAAUAUUAAUAAACAAUACAUUAUCAUACAUUAAAAAAAGUCACAAUAUGUUCCCGGAACAUUACCAUCACAAACACACAUACUUUCACUAUUACAAUUAUAAACAGGUUCAAAAUAAACUGUCUAGCAAAGUACCAGCAGCUAAAUUAUUUAUUUCUGGAGCUAAAAAACUCCAAAUUACAAACCGUUAAUUUUAAUUGAAACUAUAUUAAUGUAUAUUCUUACCAUAAAAUUUUUAGAAUUUUUGGUCUAGCCAAUUAGUACAGUUUAUUCAUUGAAGUUACCCCUAUUUCACUGCUCAACUGCCCUGACCACUCUUCACUAAAAAUAAAUUUUCUCUUCGUAAAGAACUUAUAUGAUGUUAUCGUUUAUUUUAUUUGAAACUAGACUUAUUAAGGAUUUAAAUAUAUAAAUUAUAUCCCAUAAUUAUUUUUGUACAAUUUUUAAUGAUUUUUCAAAGUCAGAACAGGGGAUCACGUAGUCAUUCUGAACCAGUCUCAUAGAAACUUAAAUAUCUCAGAAUAUAGAAUUCCUUUGCUUGCUCUGUUUCUAUUAUAUGAAAAUAAACUCAUUAAGCUUUAAUUUGAUAUCUCAUUCAAUCUCUGAUUCAAUUUCUAAUAUUUUUGGUAAAUUUUUAGAUUCUCAUCACUGCAACUAUCCAGAACAGUUUUAUUGUCAAUUCUGAUCUUUCACACUUCAAUUGUAUUCAUCACUUACCCAUAACAAUCUUUCCAAUUUCCAAUCACAUAUCAAGCAUAUUACUCAUAAGUUACACACGUGUAUACUUACACUUAUCUUCACAAAGUCAUACACAAUUUCAUUUAAUCAAUUUCCCAGUUGAACACUUCGGAAUAAUAACAGAUACGCGAUGGUAUCGCACACAGUCCACCUUUAAAAUUGAAGCUCUCUUGUACACAUAGUGGCCUUCACUUAGCACCACUCAUGUGACCUAGCCACUUUAUCUCGUAGCUCUCUUGUUUACAUGGUGUCCUUCACCUGGAACCACACAUGCAACCUAGCUACAUCUAUCUCGUAGCUCUCUUGUCUACAUGGUGUACACAUAGUAUCACCCAUGCGACCUAGCUACCUCAUAAUGUCUCGUAGCUCUCUUGUACACAUGGUAUACAUCCCGUAUUCCACAUGUGACCUAGCUACAUACCAUCUGUAUCUUUCGAUUCCGAAGGUUCAAACGGGAAGUAUCUCACUUUCUAAUACUUUAUUCCAUUCUUCCAAUAGUCAAUUAUGAUUCAAAAAUCAGCUACAAUACAUAAAAUAUGCUGAAAUAUGAAAACGUAAUAAAGAUAAUGUAUUAUUUACAUACAAACUUACAUACUUUCUCAUUUUCAUGUCGAAAAUAUGCUGAAAUAUAAAAACGUAAUAAAGAUAAUGUAUUAUUUACAUACAAACUUACAUACUUUCUCAUUUCCAUGUCGAAUUAAUAUUGAACAUUUAAAUCAUCAUAAUUAUACUUACUUUCAACACCUCGGUAAUCAUAGUAAAUAUAUUAAUUUUACAUUGAAACAUGCAUAAAUUAAUGCUUAUUAUACAUAUGAACUUACCUCGAUACUAAAACGACCAUUUUACCAACUUUCCUGAUUUUCGAUUUUUCUCCCAUUCUAGGUUCAAAACUCAUUUUUCAAGAAUCUAAAACAUCAUAUUUUACUUAUUUAAUUAAUGUACUAUUCAAAACAGUCCUUAACUCAAACUUUGGAAAAAUUACAAUUUUACCCCUAAACUUUUGCAUAUUUAUACUUUUGCCCCUAAGCUCGGGAAUUAAACUUCAUCCCUUAUUCUUAUAUUUUAUGACAUGCUGAUCAUUUUUCCCUUCUAUGGAAACAUCAAAUUCUUACUCUAACACAUAGUUAUGAACAAUAACAACUUUUACCGAUUAAGCCGUUUUACUCAUUUUUGCUUAAAACCGCUUAGCAAAAGUUGUUUAACAUAAUUUCAGUCUUCAUAUUCUACCAUAAAACAUCAAAAUAAACACAUUUCACCUAUGGGUAUUUUUCCAAAUAUGAACCUUAGCUUAAAUUAUUGCUAGAAUAAGCUUAAUCAAGUUACCGGGAUUCCAAAAACAUAAAGAACUUGAAAAACGGGGCUAGAAUGGACUUACUAUUGAGCUUGGAAAGCUUGAAAACCCUAGCCAUGGCUUCCCCCAUGCUAAUUUCGGC
rnacentral:lncRNA from 1 species